rnacentral:rRNA from 1 species
CGAAAGUCGGCCUAAUACCUCAUGGCAUCGUCUGCGGGCAUCCAAUGACGAUUAAAGAUUUCAUCGGUCAGGGAGUGGGGAUGCGUCUGAUUAGCUAGUUGGCGGGGUAACGGCCCACCAAGGCUACGAUCAGUAGGGGUUCUGAGAGGAAGGUCCCCCACAUUGGAACUGAGACACGGUCCAAACUCCUACGGGAGGCAGCAGCU